rnacentral:lncRNA from 1 species
GUGAGAGAGGGAACAUGACAAGCGCGCCCGCUCUCCCUCCCUCCCUCUGCUCCCGCCGCCGCCGCCGCUCCUCAGGCUGCACACGGGGCGCCUUUCCCGCACCCCCACCCCAGCCCGCCCCCUGCCUCCUUCCCUCCUUCCCGCCCUCCCUCCUCCUUCUCCUCCCCUCCCUUCCCGGUGCCCGGGGACACGCGGGCCCAGCUCCAGCCCGCAGCCCAGACCCCACGCGCUCUCCGGCUCCCGCCCUAACCCUGGGGGCUCGGCUCCAGCCGAAUAAUGUAUUCACACUGCAACCUUCCGAGAUGUCUUGUCUUUUAAAAUUUGGUUUAGUUUUGUUGUUGUUGUGUGUGCGUGUGAUUAAAAAAAAAAUCUGUGCCUUUCCCACCGUUUGCAAAAGACUUUCUUCUCCUUUGCCACAGCAAACGGAGAUGAGAAACAGAUGUCUUUGCAGGACCAAACAGUUACUCUCCCUCGCCGCCCCCGCCCGUUUCCCUCCUGAGCUGCUGAUCCUCCGACUGUGAAAAACCAAACCUCUGGCUGCCUGGCACCCUAGGAAUCAAGAAGACGCACAGACUGAAAAUCAAGGGAGGAAGGAACAAGAUCAAGGAUGAGGAUUAGCAUCUGCAAAUUGAACUCUAUCUAAUUUGCAUGUUUAUUUCUUAGAAUUGUAAUUAAAUUUGUGUAAUAAAUGUUUUCCAUUUCAUUUGUACACUUAAAACUUGGGUGACUGACAUGCAGUUAAGUGAAUUUCCUUUUUUUUUUUUUUUUAAGCAAAUGUAGUUUAUUCAAUAAAGUAGCAAACCAAUAUUAAACAUAAUUAGAACUAAUCUGUUUUGAAGGUGUUUCUGUUGAACUUUGUACAUUAAAGACUCUCAGAGGUUUUAAGGGUAUUAGGAAGCUGAGAGAUGGCAAUUAUGCUGAAAACAGACGAACCCAACAGCCUACCAAGAGCAUUAUUUCAUUUUUUCCAAAAGACGUUCCAGGGUUGCAUGCCUAAAAUUGGGAAUUGGGCAUCCAUCUUGGCUUUAUUCUGAACCAUAUUAAAUUGCAUUGACUCAUGCAUGAUGUAGGCCAUUAUGAUGAUAAUUUAAGAAUUGUAAAGAUGCCAUUUUGUGCAGUCAAUGGAAGUUGCAUGUCCAGAUUAACAGUAGAAUAUAAUUUUCAUUUGGGUGGGAGAGGAGGGUUAGGAAAGGCACUAGGGCGUUUAAAGCAGUGCAAGUAUGUAGAAAUCCAAAUUUCCAAAUAUCUAAAACUGGUUAUUGUCAAACUCAAAGAACUAAAUGUGAGGGCUUGGAGGCAUGGCUUAUUAUGGUUUUUAUCUCCCUAUAUUAAAGUUUUAUAGCAUUUAAAGGACUAUGGGGAAAUCCCCACAUACACUUGGCUGUGUCAAAAUACAUAAAACCAAAAGGAGCAAAUUAAGCAUAAAAUUGAGAAAUAACAUGAGACUAAGUUAUCAGCAUGGGUGCACUGGUAUCUUUGGAGCUUUGGCUCUGAGAAAUUAGCCUUCUGGGAAACUGGCACUGCCCUUGGGUGGAGAAGACUCUUGGCUUUAAUGUUACAACAAAAUGAUAUCACAAGUAUCAGAUCAUUGUACUUCACAGCAUCCUUGCAGUUCUGAUCAUGAACUAGACCUUGUCCUCAUCAGAUAUAUUAGGUUAGCAUGUUUUACUGACAGCUUUCCCUGCCCUACUUUUAAUCCCAAGCUUAAUGUUUUUUGAGAUUCAAUACCCAACUGUUGACAACAUGAACCUGUGUCUACAAGUACAAGAGGCAGACAAAUGUCUAUGGAAUGAGAAACCUCAUUACAAAUUUAAGGUGAGUAUGUGGUAGCUAUGGCAUGAAAAAAGAACUAACUAUAAAUCAAUAAUGAAAUAUUUGGAAUGAGUAAAUGUUAUUUAUAAUGAGGUACAAUAUUUAAUUGAGAACUAUGAUGUCAUCAUUUUGGGGUGUGUGUGUGUGUGUGUGUGAAGUUCCAAAUAGAAGUUUGAUUAUAAAACUUAUAAUACUUUGAGCUGCAGAUUUACUGAAGGCAGUGGUUGUUUUCCUUUGUUAACAAAUAGACUUUCAGACUUAAAAUUGCUGAAACCCAUUUCACAAAACCUUUUUGUCAUUUGUCUGAUAGGGAGAUUUCACAAGUAAAAUUUGACUUAUUCAGAUUGCUGUGGAUACAAUUCCCAUUUGGGUUAAUUGAAAGUUAAAAUUACUGGCUUAAAAAAAUAGACCAUUUUUGGCUGGGUGCGGUGGCUCACGCCUGUAAUCCCAGCAGUUUGGGAGGCCAAGGUGAGUGGAUCACCUGAGGUCAGGAGUUCGAGGCCAGCCUGACCAACACGGUUAAACCCUGCCUCUACUAAAAAUACAAAACAAUUAGCCAGGCGUGGUGGCAGGUGCCUGUAAUCCCAGCUACUUGGGAGGCUGAGGCAGGAGAAUAGCUUGAACCCAGGAGGCAGAGGCGGCAGUGAGCCGAAAUCGCACCACUGUAUUCCAGCCAGGGUGUGACAGAGCAAGAAUCCGUCUAAAAAACAAAACAAAACAAAACCCAUUUUUUAUGGCAAAAAGAAGCAUCUGCACCCAAUUCCUCUUCUAUUCUCAAACCUUUUCCACUGAGGCUUUCUUAUCCGAUCACUCCAUUGAAACUGUUCUGGUCAAUGUCACCAGUGACCUCUGCGCUGUUAAAUCCAAAGGCCAUUUUGCAUCUAACUUGACCCUUAAGCAGCAUUUGACCCAGGUGCCCACUCUCUCCUCCUUCAAAUGCCUUUAUCCUGGCUCCUGGGACAACACACCCACCUGGUUUGCCACCUGCCUCACUGGUUGUUCCUUCUCAGUCUCCUUUGCUGGUUCCCCCUCUUAUCUAGGACCUCUGGAUGUUGGGUUGCCUCAAGCUCAGUCCUUGCACCUUGUCUCUUCUCUACAGCCACUUUCUUGUGGGUCUCAUCUAGUCUCUUGCCUUCGAAUACUCUCUAUAUUCUGAUGACUCCCAAAUUCAUAUCUCUAGCCCAGGCUCUCUCCUGACUUCCAGACUGCAUGUAGAUGCCUAAUGGGUAUCACAAGCUUUACAGACCCCAAACUCAACCCCUGUUAUCUCUGUUUUCCCAAUCUAUGCCACCUUUAAUAGUCUCCAUCAAUAAACAACAGUAUUUUUCUACUUGCUCUGACAAAAAUCCUUAGAGUCAUCAUUGAUUUCUUUUCCUUCAUCUCCUCUAUCUAAUACAUCAGAAAGUCUCGAGAAGCUACCUUUAAAAUUUUUCUUGACUCGGCCAGGUGCGGUGGCUCAUGUCUGUAAUCCCAGCACUUUGGGAGUCUGAGGUGGGUGAAUCAUGAGGUCAGGAGAGUGAGACCAUCUUGGCUAACAUGGUGAAACCCCAUUCUACUAAAAGUACAAAAAAAAGUAGCCAGGCAUGGUGGCACGUGCCUGUAGUCCCAGCUACUUGGGAGGCUGAGUCUGGAGAAUCCUUUGAACCCGGGAGGUGAAGAUUACAGUGAGCCAAGAUCACGCCACUACACUCCAGCCUGGGCAACAGAGUGAGACUCCAUCUCAAAAAGAAUUUUAUUUUCUUGACUCUGAUCACUUCUCAAUAUCUCUACCACCACCAUUGUGGUCCACGCUUUCAUCAUGAUCUUCUGCCUAGGAUGUGACAAUGGCAUCCUAACUGGUCUCCCUGCUUCCGUCUUUGGCCCUGUCUCCAGUUCAAUCUCAGGUCAAUAGCAAUGGUGUCAAUUUUUGCCAAGGUUCUUCCUAGAGCUCCCCAUUUCAAAGUAAAAGCCAUGUUCUUGCAAUAGCCUACAAAGACUAGAAGUCUCUCUUUAUUUCUCUAAUCUCACUCUGCCUCCAACCACUCCAGCCACUCUGGUCUCCUUUCUGUCCCUCUAACAGCCAACCUUGCUUUCCUCGGGACAUUUGCACUGGCUAUUCCCUCUUCCUGUUGUGCUCUUUCCUCAGAUAGCUGCACAGAUACAUGUUCACCUCUUCCACAUUCCAGCUCAAGUAUCAUCUUCUUAAUAAGCCCUGACCACUAUGCGUGAAAUUCUAACACUUCACCUUUAUAGCCUGCUUGAUUUUCAUCCAGAGAAUAAAAUAAAGAUCACCUUCUAAUCUUUUAUGCAUAUGUUCAAUUUAUCACUUCUCUUCUUCCACUAGAAAGUAAUGUCCAUAAAAGCAGGGAUUUUUGUCUUUUUUUAUUAGCUCCCAUAUCUUCAGCAACUAGCACAGUGCAAGUACUUGGCAUACUGGAAGCACUCAAUAAAUAUAUAAUGAUUGAUUGAACAAGUGACUGACAGUUUCACGUAUAUACAGAAUCCAAACAAGGCUAAAAUAGUGCUAGUCUAAUCUAGUGUAUGUUGGUGAAACAAGCAGUCAGUUUUAUUACCUCAUUUGUCUCCGAGAAUCCUCUGGCCUAGAGCUGCCAUCUUCCCCGCAGCCUUCCAGGACCUGAAGAUACUACCAAGAUUCCCAGGACCCAGUGGUUUCAUGCUGCCCUCCCUGCCUGAGAGUCCCAGUACUAGAUUUGAUUCCUGUGGAUGCUGGUGCUCUGGACCAGCCUGCCUUGCCCCCAGCACAGAUUUUCAUCAUUGCCAAGAUGCUUGUGCUAAGUUACAGUCUUAUACAAGAUGACAAAGUGUGUAAAAUUACUCUCUAGGAGCCUAGGAUAUCAUUUCUUGGCAUAGCUACCCUUUCAGAGUUCCUCCACUUUCUUUCUUAUCCUCCUUCAAACUCAUUCAGAAAUACUCUAAUAAUUAUGUGCAUUUUACAUGCAAGAAUUGAUCUAGGCACUGCAGGUGAAGUAGAGAUUAAUAAGACACUAUUCCUAGACUUAUGGGUUGUCAACACAGUGAGUAGCAUAAGACAAGCAUAGAUACGUUGGCACUAUUUAGUAAGUCGGGGCACAGCAAUGGCCAUGGG